AUUUUAUACAACUCUAUAUAGUCCGUAAAAAAAUCACUUCACACGCGGCAUUUUAACUCAAUGGGUCAAAUGUCAUGUCAAAAGGACGGUUGA